rnacentral:rRNA from 1 species
GAUCUACAUAUGCAAGUCGAGCGGCAGCACAGGACUUCGCUCUGGUGGCGAGUGGCGAACGGGUGAGUAAUGUAUCGGAACGUGCCUAGUAGCGGGGGAUAACUACCCGAAAGGGUAGCUAAUACCGCAUACGCCCUACGGGGGAAAGCAGGGGAUCGCAAGACCUUGCACUAUUAGAGCGGCCGAUAUCGGAUUAGCUAGUUGGUGGGGUAACGGCUCACCAAGGCGACGAUCCGUAGCUGGUUUGAGAGGAUGACCAGCCACACUGGGACUGAGACACGGCCCAGACUCCUACGGGAGGCAGCAGUGGGGAAUUUUGGACAAUGGGGGAAACCCUGAUCCAGCCAUCCCGCGUGUGCGAUGAAGGCCUUCGGGUUGUAAAGCACUUUUGGCAGGAAAGAAACGUCUGGGGCUAAUACCCCGUGAAACUGACGGUACCUGCAAAAUAAGCACCGGCUAACUACGUGCCAGCAGCCGCGGUAAUACGUAGGGUGCAAGCGUUAAUCGGAAUUACUGGGCGUAAAGCGUGCGCAGGCGGUUCGGAAAGAAAGAUGUGAAAUCCCAGAGCUUAUCUUUGGAACUGCAUUUUUAACUACCGAGCUAUAGUGUGUCAGAGGGAGGUGGAAUUCUCCGUGUAUCAGUGAAAUGCGUAUAUAUGCGGAGGAACAUCGAUGGCGAAAGCGGCCUCCUGGGAUAACACUGACACUCAUGCACGAAAGCGUGUGGAGCAAACAGGAUUAGAUACCCUGGUAGUCCACGCCCUAAACGAUGUCAACUAGCUGUUGGGGCCUUCGGGCCUUGGUAGCGCAGCUAACGCGUGAAGUUGACCGCCUGGUGAGUACGGUCGCAAGAUUAACACUCACAGGAAUUGACGGGCACCCGCACACGCAGUGGAUGAUGUGUGAUUAAUUCGAUGCAUCGCGAAAAACCUUACCUACCCGUGACAUGUC